rnacentral:lncRNA from 1 species
UCAAUUUAAAUUUAACUUCUGCUUAUGUGCAACAUCUGUAAAAGAGAACAAUAAUGAUAUUUAAUGGAUAGUAAUUAGAGAUUUAUUGUGAUUCAAAUGCUACUCUUCUAUCGUAGGAGAGUUCAAGGUGAUCUCAAACUCUAACACUAUCUUCUUCCUAAAAUGUAUUCUCUUCAUGUCAGGAGUCUUUCUCUCCUUAUCCAAUAUGCAACCUUUUUUAUCAGAUCAUGAGAUAUUGCUACUUUAUUUGUUAGAUUAAUCUCCUUCAUGUGCAUCUCAUGUACAGGUUGAUCAUGACUGUGCUUCACAAGAUGGACCUGGUCCAUAUUUGUGUUCUUUUGUCAACCUUCAAAACUUCACAUGUUCUUGGGCCGGCAAAUUCCUCCUUUUUGACGAUGACAAGCUCUGUGCUUUUUACUUACUUGAAUCCUCUAAGAACUCAGAUUAACCAUCAAUACAAAGAUUAGAAAUUUCACUUAUCAUCAAGGACUAAGUUAAUUAGGUUAUAAAUAUCACUUAUUCAGAAUAUGUAAAACGUAGUAUUUCUUCCACCUUUUGGCAUCAUCGAAAAGUUUCAUGCAAAGUAUGAUUCCCAUAUUUUAAUAAGUCCUCAUGGCUACUGGGCCAACUGCAAAUGUAAUCAUGGUUUAAUCAUCAAUAAUCAGACAAACAUAUGUAAACUAUAAACUAUCAAGGAAAGAUUACAUUGAAAAAUAGCAAAAACAGUAGAUAUCAUUUAUAGAAGAUAUGUUUCUACCACAAUCCACAACCAGAAACCAAAAAACAUUUAAAAUAUGAGCAAAAAAAAGAUAGAAAAAUCCCAAAUCCGGGUCACUGAAUGUACUAGACAGGUUCGGGAGACAAAGGCUAGAAUUCCUAAGAUUUAGGUAAGCUAGAGGGUUGGUUUUGGGCUUUGAGAAGAUUCAGCAUAUUGUGAAGAAUUCUGUCAUUCUUCUCCUUUUCCUUGGUAAGCUCAGUUCUGAGAGCACUCCUCUCAGAUUCAACCUCUACAACACGAGCCUUGAGCCUAGCUAUCUCAGCAUCCUUGGCUUCACAUUCUUGAACAAGAGCCCUGACUUUACUGUUGAUAGGAUUCUUCUUGGAUGAACCAGGUUCAUUUGGGAUGCCAAUAACUAAAUACGCACAACGAAUCGGAGUAUUAAUGCCAAAGUGAUCCUAGCUUGAGGUCAUUUCCAAUUUCUUCAGAAACACAAUGCACCUAUCUAGAAUUGUAGUCAAAAUAAAGCCGGUAGUAUAAGCCUUGGAGACAUUGAUGACCUUGUCUAGCAACUUGAUGAAGAAUGCAAGCUAAUUUUUCCUUCCACUUUCAAGACACUCCACAAGAACUACGUCCAUAUAAUUUACAGUAUGCCUUCUCUCUUGCCUGGGAAAUAGGCACUUGUUGACAAAUUCAAACAAGACUUAGUGUUGUGGCCUAGUUUCACUUAUCAGAACAGCCCUAGCCUCAUUCACAUCUUCAGCAUCACAGAACCUCCAGGUAAUUUCUAGGGUAGUAGGAAGGGGGGUCCAGACAAGGCCACCUUUGACUUGUAUAGUCAUCAAACCCUUCAAAGGGUAUGUCAAGGAUCUCUCCCAGUUUUUUCUGCAUCAAAGGUCACUUGAACUCCUUAACCUCUGUAUUUUCCAUGAACUCAAUGAUCUUAUUCCUAGUUAGCCUUCCAUCCAUAUGAAGGACCAUAUCGUUCCACCCCUGAGCAGCUAAGGCAUCCACCAGUCUUAUCAUUCCUAGUUCCGCCAAGUCUUUCAGCAAUCUACCCUUCAAAAUUUUUCUUUUGCCAAACAUGGCAAGCUUUUCUUGUUCACCAUCAGACUUAUCAUCUUCUUCUUCUUCACUCUAUUCCUUAUCUUCAAAAAUUCUUACUUGUUUACUUUUCGCCGAAGACCUUGUCCUAUUGGCUAAUGAUGGUUCAAUAGCUUGAUACAUAGAGGAAGAUUUCUUUGAAUAAGUCUUGGGCCUUUUGGGCUUGGGGUUCUAACCUCCAAUGUUUGAACUUCCUGCUGAUGGACAUGUUCUAUCUCCUCAACUUCCAAAGCCUUUGAAGACUCUACAACCUUCCAUUUUCCUUUAGCCAUCCUUUUCUUCUUAUUCUCAACUAGAGCCUUUUGUAGAUCACUCUCACUCUGCUUCACCCUGCUUCUUGUGGCUCUAAGGAAGUUUUCGUAGUUGUUAGGGAUGAAGCCUUUCUUUUCUUAGCGGGUUUAGGAGAACUGGGGGCUUUUGGUGUGGGAGUUCUUCUUCUUUUUGGAUCAUAACUAGCCCCAACCUUUUUCAACAGAUCUGCUAGGGUUUGUUCAGUUGAUGAACAAUGUUCAUCUCCUUGUGCGUUAGAUUAACUAACCCUUCAGCAGCUUCACCAGAACCACUUUCCCCUGACUUAUUUCAACUCUCUUCUAUAUUUUCUUGUUCAACCCCACAGAUAGGAGGUGUAGAGAAAUCAGCAUUGGGUGAAUGAUCAACCAUUCUUUUCCAAUUUCCCCUUUCUUCACCACAUGCACCUGCUCUUCUAUUUUUUUCAGAUUUCUUUUUACCUCCACUCCUUCGUAACGCAGGUAAUUCUAUAUCCCUAAUUGUCCAACCAAAACAAAUCUUGUUUCUAGAUUUUCAGUCAAAGAAGAACUUACCUUAGAAGGUGAUUCUUGAGUCUUUUCAGAGUCAGAAGACCCAGGUCCUUCCCCCUCACUAGAAGAUUUGCAUGACUCAGAAUCAGAGUAGGAGUUAGAGUCUUGGACCUGACUUUCCGUUAAUUUCUCAUUUAAUUUCUUUGAGAGAUCCCCAGAUGCUAUUGUUUUCCAAGCAAUCAUUUUUACCCUUCUCAGCCUAGGUUUGGGAGAUGUACUAGGUGGAGGAGGGAUAGAUGAAUUAAAAGGAGUGGGUGGUGGAGGAGAUCCGGGAUUUUCUUGCGGGUUUUUCAUGAUCAAUUGUUUCUUUAGAGAACUGGUGAUUUAGAAUUGUGGAGAAGAAAGCAAGUGAAAAUGAAGGGGUUUUUUGACGGUUUAGAAUUAUUAAGAGGGCAGGAGGUAAUGAUGUGUAUUUAAAGAGAAAUACAUAUUUAAUGUAUAAUAGUAGCUUUAGCAGUGAUCAAUUAUAAGUCUAAUCAACCUAAAUUUUUUAGGUUUGAACGAAUGGUUAGGCUUCCCUAGAUUUUUGGCAAUUUUUUUGGUUUAGAGUUCUAAGGCUGACGAAACUUGUUCAAAACUAACGGAUAGAAUCUUCUACGGAGUUAAAUAAUUGUAGGACUUCUGCUCAUGAUUUUAAAUAUUUAUAUUUCUAAUUGUGCAGAAUAUAGAAAACAUACCUUAGCAUUCAGAUGAACUCAUAUUGAUGAACUAGGUUAUUCAUUUAGAAUUUUCUUGACCAUGUACCAUAACAGAGAAAUUUUUUAAGAGAUCAGUGAGUCAUAUUAACACAUGUCAUAGGAGUAUACUAAUUAGUAUAAAGCUGAGUAAAAAUUAAUCUAGAUAUUUAUACAAGUUCAUAUUUCCUUGCAAUAUUUUUUUUAAAUUUUUUUUCAUUGUGCAUUCUGAAUUGGUCCUUAGGUGAUCUUAAUCAUCCCUAAUUCCAACCCGUUCCUCUCAAAGUUUUCUCUACUAAGUGCCUUAGUGAAGUUGUCAGCAAUUUGUUUAUCAGUAGUGCAGAAUUCUAUAGAGAUCAAUCCAUUCUCAUAGUUAUCUCUUAAGAAGUGGUGUCUGACAUCUAUGUACUUAGUCCUCUUAUGAUGAAUAGGGUUCUUUGUCAUACUUAUAGCACUAGUGUUAUCAUAGAAGAUAGGAAUGCAAUAAACAUAAAUUCCAAAAUCUAUCAACAUUCGUUUGAUCCAUAGCAAUUGAGCACAAGAAGAGGCAGAAACAAUAUAUUCAAUCUCAACAGUGGAUAUGGCCACUGAAUUAUACUUUUAGUGGCUCAUGAUACAAGACAUGAACCAAGAAAAUGAGCCAUACCUGAGGUGCUCUUUCUAUUCGCAAGGAAACCUACAUAAUCACCAUCAGCAUACCCUACUAGAUUGAAAUUACUACCUUUAGGGUACCAAAGAUAUAGAUUAGUAGUGCCUUUCAAAUUUCUCAGUGUCCUUUUGACAACAAUCAAGUGAGAUUCCUUUGGGUUAGCUUGAAAGCGAGCACAAAUCCCUGCACUGAAAACCGUGUCAGGUUUGCUGUCACACCUUCUUUUUCCUACACCCCAAAAGGAAGUAUAAGGGAGUUUUUUCCAACUUAAAGUGACAAUAAAAAUGAUCAUUUUAUUAAAAAAAUCAUAGUACCCACUUGGGAUAAGUUUAUAGUUUCCCAAGUCAACGGUUCAAAUCCCGAAUUGAGGAAAAGAAUGACUCUGUUUUACAGUCCGCGAAUGCAGAAUCUGGAUAAUGAAUUCUACUAACCCAAGAGAAUGUAUUAGACAUUCUGUAGUUCUCGCACGGUCUCUCAACUAUUAUUAUUGGCUUAUUAUCUUGAUUAGUACAUGUUUUAGCCUAUGGUGCAAAUUUAAACUCUAUAAUCUCUUUUAUUUAUAUUUUUUAGGAAGAUUUCAAUGUUAUUAAAAACAAAUCUUGAACCCCUCACAUAAAUGCACCGGCGGUCCUCAACAUAAUUUAUCUAACGCUAUUAAGAUUUGGAUUUGGGUAACAUAAAUGCACACCCGAGUUUAGGAAGGUAAUUUAAAUUACGCGCUUAAAGCAACUACGCAUUUUUAAAUUUGCGAGGGCCAUGGAAUUCAACGAAAUAACACGCCUCUAUUUAAAAGGAUUAAAAUAUUAAUCCAAGCGAUGACCAUGCAUUCAAAGAUUUUAUUUGGCACGGCAUGCUCAGUUCCAAUUUUAAAGGGAAGAGCUUAAACUAAAAUUUGAAGACCAUAAAAAUGUAUUACUUAAUACGGCAGCCCUCCAAUAUACCUUUUAAAAAAACCAACUAAUUAAUUAAGAAACAAUUUAAGGGAAUUAUAAUCAACCUAAACUCGAAUCAACCAUACAAAGCUUAACCCGUUAGAACCCUAAAGUGGUGAACCUGACUCCAUUGAUUAAUUUAAACUACUACUUGCUAAAAGGGAAAAAGAUAUUAGAAAUGAAACCUGAUACUACACUACAACUAACCGUAUUGGUGCCACUUAAAUCAACCCAAUCAGAAUUCUAAUUAAAGCAAAGAAAACAAGAGGAGACUACCCUAUUCAUUUGAAUAACCCAUAACAAAUAAAUGAAAAAACGAGUAGUAACAAAAUGAAACCAAAAUUGAGGAAACAAGAAAAACAAAGCUAAAGAUGAAACGGACAUACCAUCAAAAGGGAGAACAUGUACUGUCUAUUUUAUACCAAAAACAUACGAACGAAUUUAUGAACAGCGUUGCUUGACGAGUUUGCCGUUAUUUGGUCUUGCAUGAGGUCGAUGAGCUUCGAAAUGAGUCGAAAUUGAUGCUAAUCAUUUGCUCUCAUGGAGAACCAUCGAUUGGCAUAAGCUUCGACCCAUUAACGGCCUAGACACUCCUUGAAAAUUUAAUAAAGGGGGAAAAACCUGAGCUUCGAAUUUGGUAUCGGAUUCAAGAUUUGGAGCCAAGGGUGGGUAUUUUGGGGAAGUUCGUGUUAUAUUCAUGCUCCAUAGGGUGUGGGGUUGUAGAGGAGGAGUUUAGGUUUGAAUGGGUGGUCCAAAGUUUGAUGGUCCAAAAUUGGAUAGAAGAUUUGACGAGUUUCAUAAUGAUUCGAAGGGAACCAAUGACGGAUUCUUUAUGAGGGGGAAAAGGGGGUGUUAUGGUGUGAAGAUGGGUGCAGUUGGAAGUGGCGCCACCAGGCUCGAGGUGGAGGAAAUGGAGACGGCGCUUUAGGAUUUUUUCUAGUCUCUGAAGAAGAGUGGGUUUGAGAAAGAUGAUGAGAGAGUGG